UACGUAGGGGGCUAGCGUUGUCCGGAAUCAUUGGGCGUAAAGAGCGUGUAGGCGGUCCGGUAAGUCCGCUGUGAAAGUCGGGGCUCAACCCUCGAAUGCCGGUGGAUACUGUCGGGCUAGAGUGCGGAAGAGGCGAGUGGAAUUCCUGGUGUAGCGGUGAAAUGCGCAGAUAUCAGGAGGAACACCUAUUGCGAAGGCAGCUCGCUGGAACGGUACUGACGCUGAGGCGCGAAAGCGUGGGGAGCGAACAGG
rnacentral:rRNA from 1 species